CAGGGCCAGAAAGGGCGCUGG
rnacentral:misc_RNA from 1 species